rnacentral:rRNA from 1 species
AAUCAACGCUGGCGGCGUGCCUAACACAUGCAAGUCGAACGCGAAAGCCCCGCAAGGGGUAAGUAGAGUGGCAAACGGGUGAGUAACACGUGGGUGACCUGCCUCAGAGUGGGGGAUAACGUCCCGAAAGGGGCGCUAAUACCGCAUAAGAUCCUGCAUUUGGAAAUGUGGAGAUCAAAGCCGGGGAUCGCAAGACCUGGCGCUUGGAGAGGGGCCCGCGGCCGAUUAGCUAGUUGGUAGGGUAACGGCCUACCAAGGCAACGAUCGGUA